rnacentral:rRNA from 1 species
AGAACGAACGUUGGCGGCGUGGAUUAGGCAUGCAAGUCGCGGGAAUCCCAGCAAUGGGGGAACCGGCGUAAGGGGCAGUAAGGCGUGGGUACCUGCCUUGGGGUCCGGGAUAGCCGUCCGAGAGGGCGGGUAAUACCGGAUGACCUCGGGAGAGCAAAGCUCCGGCGCCCUGAGAGGGGCCCACGUGAUAUUAGCUUGUUGGUGAGGUGACGGCUCACCAAGGCGGAGAUGUCUAGCGGGUGUGAGAGCACGACCCGCGCCACUCGCACUGAGACACUGGCGAGACACCUACGGGUGGCUGCAGUCGAGGAUCUUCGGCAAUGCGCGCAAGCGCGACGAGCGACGCCGCGUGGGCGAUGAAGGCCGUUCGGGUUGUAAAG